rnacentral:ncRNA from 1 species
CGUUCUCGGGGUAGGGUGAAAUUCCCCACCGGCGGUAUAUGUGAGUGCCACAUGAGCCCGCGAGCGCCUUGUAUCGAUCGACAUGAGGGUCAGCAGAUUCGGUGAGAUGCCGAAGCCGACGGUUAAAGUCCGGAUAUAGAGA